UGCUGGUGAGACCACCACUGAUAUCCAGAGCUCCACAGGUGAGGACGAGCAUGAGGGUGUUCCGGUUACAUGGGCAUGUCCUGCUCCCUGCCUCUCCUCAUCACACCCCGCUGCCUUCACACCCUCUGUCCCCCAGCUCCACAUGCCCGGAUUCUGCACACCCUCCCCACAGCCACGGUGCUGGCAGUGGCGGCCGUUGGCCUCGUCCUCCUGGCUGCAGGCAGCUGGUUUGCCAUCAGGAAAGGUGCGUGCAGAGGGAGAUGCCCAAGGCAGCAGCACGUUGACAGACCACAGACCGAAGACACCAACUAUGGUGACAUCCAGUGUGAGUACUACCUCCUCCCCUGGGGGAAGCCACAUGCUCCUCUCCACAUGAGAAUCCUCUGUAAGUCCCCAUGGAAUCCUACAACUUCAUUUCCCACUGGGACAUACAAAAUCCCUGCUCGUUCAUCAAGGGACAGGUUUCUCUCCAGCACCUCACAUCCUGCUUCUUCCUUGCAUGAACAUUGCGUGUGGGCUGCUGGCUGCACAAGGGACAUGGCAGUAUCCCAGUGCUCAUAGGGACAAAGCCCAUUUGCCUGGGGGGUCCUUCCACAGCUGCUGCAGCCCCAGGCUUCAAUUCCCCUGCUUCAGCCUCUGCUUUUGUCAUUUCUUCAGUUUUCCUACAAAGCGAUUUCUGUUUUCAUGUGGUUGAAAAGACACGGCAGCGAUAAAAGAUCUGGCUCUCUUUCCUUGUUUUUCAGGGGAAAACAUUGUAUAAUUUUCUUUGAUACCACAGAGAGCAGGCAAGGGAGGAUGUUGUGGUUGGGUGACAGGCUAUAAAUAUAUCCCCACCCUAUUUGCACCUCGCUCAAGUUGCAGCACGACCUUGUUUACCCACGCUUGCACAAAGCAGCUCACAAGGUGUGCUGGCUGUGCAAAGAGAGGAGAUGCCACAGAAAGCUGGAAAUACACCAAAACCUCAGCAUCUCUGCUCCACUGCUGCUUAAUGCUCAACCCAGAGCAGGAUGAUAGGAGGGGAAAUGUGGUCAGGUGUUGAGAGCUGACCACAGGCAGCUGCUGCCCAAGGUCAGGGUGAGUUUC
rnacentral:lncRNA from 1 species